rnacentral:rRNA from 1 species
GAAGCUGUGGAUUGACAUCUUAGAUGUCAGUGGUAGGAGAGCGUUCUAAGUGCAGCGAAGUCAGACCGUAAGGACUGGUGGAGCGCUUAGAAGUGAGAAUGCCGGUAUGAGUAGCGAAAGACAAGUGAGAAUCUUGUCCACCGAAUGCCUAAGGUUUCCUGAGGAAGGCUCGUCCGCUCAGGGUUAGUCGGGACCUAAGCCGAGGCUGAAAAGCGUAGGCGAUGGCCAACAGGUUGAUAUUCCUGUACC